rnacentral:rRNA from 1 species
UACGGGAGGCAGCAGUGGGGAAUAUUGCGCAAUGGGCGAAAGCCUGACGCAGCAACGCCGCGUGAGGGAUGAAGGCCUUCGGGUUGUAAACCUCUUUUCCAGGGGAUGAGGAAGGACAGUACCCUGGAAGUAA